rnacentral:ncRNA from 1 species
ACAAAGUUUUGGUCCUAAACUUGCCGUUGUUUUUAACCAAGAUUAUACAUGCAAGCCUCCACGCGCCAGUGAGAAUGCCCAUAUACCCCUAAACAGCUAACGGAGCAGGUAUCAGGAUCGCCCAAUCUGCAGCCUACAACACCUUGCUACGCCGCACCCCCACGGGUCUACAGCAGUAAUUAACAUUAAAACAUGAGCGAAAGCUUGACUUAGCCAUGGUUCAUUCGGGUCGGUAAAUUUCGUGCCAGCCACCGCGGUUACACGAAAGACCCAAAACAACGGCCCUCGGCGUAAAGCGUGGUUAGAGACUGUUGACCUUUAAUGAAAAGCAUCUGCUCAGUCGUAAAACACCCCAGCAUAUCUUAACCCCACCACAAAGUGUCAUUAAAACUAAAACUACUUGACCCCACGAAAGCUAAGAAACAAACUGGGAUUAGAUACCCCACUAUGCUUAGCCCUAAACCAAGGUGGUAUAAACACAACACUACCCGCCAGAGAACUACAAGCGAAAAACUCAAAACUCCAAGGACUUGGCGGUGCCCCAUAUCAUCCUAGAGGAGCCUGUCCUAUAAUCGAUAAUCCACGCUCCACCCAACCAUCUUUUGCCCCCAGCCUAUAUACCGCCGUCGUCAGCUUACCUUAUGAAAGAAGAACAGUAAGCGAAAUAGUUACUAACUAGCACGUCAGGUCAAGGUGUAGCACAUAAGAUGGCAGAGAUGGGCUACAUUUUCUACUACAGAAAACACGAACAGCUCAAUGAAACUUGAGCCAAAAGGCGGAUUUAGAAGUAAGACAAACCAGGAUUCUUAUCUUAAACUCGCUCUGGGGCGCGCACACACCGC